rnacentral:rRNA from 1 species
GCGUGGGAAUCUACCUAGUAGUGGGGGACAACAGUUGGAAACGACUGCUAAUACCGCAUACGCCCUACGGGGGAAAGGGAGGGGGAUCUUCGGACCUUUCGCUAUUAGAUGAGCCCGCGUCAGAUUAGCUAGUUGGUGGGGUAAAGCCUACCAAGGCAACGAUCUGUAGCUGGUCUGAGAGGAUGAUCAGUCACACUGGAACUGAGACACGGUCCAGACUCCUACGGGAGGCAGCAGUGGGGAAUAUUGCACAAUGGGGGAAACCCUGAUGCAGCCAUGCCGCGUGUGUGAAGAAGGCUC